UGGGCCCGACGGUUUGAUCAUGGCUCAGAUUGAACGCUGGCGGCAUGCCUUACACAUGCAAGUCGAACGGCAGCACGGGAGCAAUCCUGGUGGCGAGUGGCGAACGGGUGAGUAAUACAUCGGAACGUGCCCUGUCAUGGGGGAUAACUAGUCGAAAGAUUACCUAAUACCGCAUACGACCUGAGGGUGAAAGCGGGGGACCGUAAGGCCUCGCGCGAUAGGAACGGCCGAUGUCUGAUUAGCUAGUUGGUGGGGUAAAGGCCCACCAAGGCGACGAUCAGUAGCUGGUCUGAAAGGACGAUCAGCCACACUGGGACUGAGACACGGCCCAAACUCCUACGGGAGGCAGCAGUGGGGAAUUUUGGACAAUGGGGGCAACCCUGAUCCAGCAAUGCCGCGUGUGUGAAGAAGGCCUUCGGGUUGUAAAGCACUUUUGUCCGGAAAGAAAUCCCUUGCCCUAAUACGGCGGGGGGAUGACGGUACCGGAAGAAUAAGCACCGGCUAACUACGUGCCACCAGCCGCGGUAAUACGUAGGGUGCGAGCGUUAAUCGGAAUUACUGGGCGU
rnacentral:rRNA from 1 species